rnacentral:rRNA from 1 species
UGGCGGCGUGCCUAACACAUGCAAGUCGCACGAGAAAGGGUAGCAAUACCUGAGUACAGUGGCGCACGGGUGAGUAACACGUGAAUCAUCUACCUCCGAGUGGGGAAUAACCUAGAGAAAUCUGGGCUAAUACCGCAUAACACUUAGUCAAAGCAGCAAUGCGCUUGGAGAGGAGUUCGCGGCCGAUUAGUUAGUUGGCGGGGUAAUGGCCCACCAAGACGAUGAUCGGUAUCCGGCCUGAGAGGGCGCACGGACACACUGGAACUGAAACACGGUCCAGACUCCUACGGGAGGCAGCAGUGGGGAAUUUUGCGCAAUGGGGGAAACCCUGACGCAGCAACGCCGCGUGGAGGAUGAAAUCCCUUGGGAUGUAAACUCCUUUCGAUCGGGACGAUUAUGACGGUACCGGAAGAAGAAGCCCCGGCUAACUUCGUGCCAGCAGCCGCGGUAAUACGAGGGGGGCAAGCGUUGUUCGGAAUUAUUGGGCGUAAAGGGCGCGUAGGCGGUCUGACAAGUCUGAUGUGAAAUCUCUGGGCUCAACCCAGAGUCUGCAUUAGAAACUGUCGGGCUUGAGUAUGGGAGAGGUGAGUGGAAUUCCGGUGUAGCGGUGAAAUGCGUAGAUAUCGGAGGGAACACCUGUGGCGAAAGCGGCUCACUGGACCAUACUGACGCUGAGGCGCAGAAGCUAGGGGAGCAAACGGGAUUAAAUACCCUGGUAUCCUACCCUU